rnacentral:rRNA from 1 species
UACAGAGGUCUCAAGCGUUGUUCGGAUUCAUUGGGCGUAAAGGGUGCGUAGGCGGCGCGGUAAGUCGGGUGUGAAAUCUCGGGGCUUAACUCCGAAACUGCAUUCGAUACUGCCGUGCUUGAGGACUGGAGAGGAGACUGGGAAUUUGACGGUGAGCGGUGAAAUGCGUAGAGUAUCAGGAGGAACGACCGGUGGCGAAGGCGGGUCUCUGGGCCGUAACUGACGCUGAGGAGCGGAAAGCCGUGGGGAGCGAA